rnacentral:rRNA from 1 species
AUGAAGCAUACAUCCUUCUUUCAGUACUUCAUCUUCCUCUUUGGUCUUGUAGUCACAACCUUGGCCUCCGGUGAUGAUCAAUUUCUCGUCUCCGGCUUCAACCAACAACCCAGCCUAACCCUUGACGGCUGUGCCGUGGUGACAUAUGGUGGCCUUCUUGAUCUGUCCAAUGGCACGACUGGUGUCAACGGUCAUGCCUUCUACCCUACUCCUCUUCACUUCCGCAAGUCACCCGGUGGUAAAGUCCAAUCCUUCUCAGUCAAUGUAGUUUUCAGCAUGUUCAUCUCUUACGCAGGCAUGGCCUUCUUCAUCGCCCCCGCAACGAAUUUCUCUGAUGCACAAGGAGCCAAGUACUUUGGCCUACUCAACGAGAAGAACAAUGGCAACACAAGAAAUCACAUCUUCAUGGUCGAACUCGACACCUUCAAACAUGUUGAGCUCCAAGACAUCAACGACAACCACAUCGGCAUCAACAUCAACAGUGCAGUCUCCUUGCAACCCAGAACAGCUGGCUUUUAUGAAGACGAGGGUGGUGCCUUCAACAACAUGAUGCUGAAUGGAACCAAGGCUAUGCAACUGUGGGUGGACUACGACGAGGGUGAUACGCAGAUCAAUGUGACAUUGGCUCCAAUCAACAUGGGCAAACCAUCAAGGCCACUUCUCUCUGCAACCUAUGAUCUCUCAACUGUUCUCUGCGGCUCAGCUUCAUACAUUGGAUUCUCAGCCUCAUAUUCUCGCAACACCCAUCAGUACGUGAUGGGCUGGAGCUUUGGCAUGAAUAGACCAGCUCCAUCCAUUGACAUCUCCAAGCUUCCCAAGUUGCCUCUUAUUGGCCCCAAGGCCCAGCCAAAGCUCUUGGAAAUCAUGCUACCAAUACUGAAAAAGGCUUUCGCCCCGCUUUAUAUAUAA